rnacentral:rRNA from 1 species
UACGGGGGGGGCAAGCGUUGUUCGGAAUUACUGGGCGUAAAGGGCUCGUAGGCGGCCAACUAAGUCGGAUGUGAAAUCCCCAGGCUCAACCUGGGAACUGCAUCCGAUACUGGAUGGCUUGAAUUCGGGAGAGGGAUACAGAAUUCCAGGUGUAGCGGUGAAAUGCGUAGAUAUCUGGAGGAAUACCGGUGGCGAAGGCGGCAUCCUGGACCGACAUUGACGCUGAUGAGCGAAAGCUAGGGGAGCAAACGGG